rnacentral:lncRNA from 1 species
UUUAUGCUUAUGAGCUUACUAAGCUUCUAUAAGCUUACUUGUGUAUGCUAUUUGUUUUGUAGAUUGACUUAUAUAUAUACAGAGGAUCAGAUCUACAUCAAGGAUCACACUAUCCAGAUUUAUUCCGGUAGAUUUUGUUAAACAACUUUUUAAUUUAUAUGGCAUGUAUAGGGGUUGAUUUGAUAAUGUAAUUGUUUGAAUAAUUAAGUAUGC